CCUACGGGUGGCUGCAGUGGGGAAUAUUGGACAAUGGGGGCAACCUUGAUCCAGCCAUGCCGCGUGUGUGAAGAAGGCCCUCGGGUUGUAAAGCACUUUCAGUGAGGAAGAACGCCUGGUGGUUAAUACCCAUCAGGAAAGACAUCACUCACAGAAGAAGCACCGGCUAACUCCGUGCCAGCAGCCGCGGUAAUACGGAGGGUGCGAGCGUUAAUCGGAAUUACUGGGCGUAAAGCGCGCGUAGGUGGCUUGAUAAGCCGGUUGUGAAAGCCCCGGGCUCAACCUGGGAACGGCAUCCGGAACUGUCAAGCUAGAGUGCAGGAGAGGAAGGUGGAAUUCCCGGUGUAGCGGUGAAAUGCGUAGAGAUCGGGAGGAAUACCAGUGGCGAAGGCGGCCUUCUGGACUGACACUGACACUGAGGUGCGAAAGCGUGGGUAGCAAACAGGAUUAGAUACCCGAGUAGUC
rnacentral:rRNA from 1 species